CCUGGCUGCCUCCCAAUCCCAUCUCCGCCUCCUGCCAGGGCCCGCCCCGCGCCUGACCAUGCGCCGCCGCACCACAUCCGCGGCCGACCCGUGAUUGCCAAAGAGCGAGAGGAGGAGCACGACGUUGGAUCUCGGUGCCUCCAGCCCCCUUCCCACACAACCCCGAUGAUCUCCGCGACGUUGGAUCUCGGGGACGAAGCCGCUUCUUCCGCGGCAUCCGCGCAGAUCGAAAUCAGUUCCUCCCCGUGGCUCUCCUUCACUUCCCGCUGUCCUCGGGCCCAAGCCGCCGACGAAGGCUGUUGUGCGGCUAGCACGAGGCGGCUGGACGAUGGCUACCACAACGAUGCACGAGGAGGCUAGCCCAAGGCUGUCGGACGACCGCAACCACGGAGAUGCAAGAGGAGGCAAGCCCGAGGCGGCCGAACGACAGCGAUAUGUCAUCCUCGACUAAGGCUGGUUCCUUCUGAUGGUGGGCGGCGCCAGAUCCAGUCAUUCUCCUCGAGCUCCCCGUCGUCGUGCUACCGUGGGCGUCUUCGCCAACAUCUCACGCCGGUGAACGUGUCCUGCCGGUGGUUCCUCCUGCCGUCAUAACGUAAACCAGCAAAGCAUGUGCGCACGGCGGAAGAUGCUCUCGCUUCCGCGGAACGCACGCCUCCCCUACGGUCACGAACAAGAUACAUACGGAAAUUUAAAUAUUUCCUCAUGCCCAGUGUAGAGUAUGCAAACUUCAUAAUGGAAAUAAAGGACUGACGACACUGACAUGAGUUUUGUCAGUGGAAAGAGCAAAGAGUGAUGCCACAGUCUGAAUGCUGGAAUCCGAAGGAAUUGACCUACUAUUGCCGAGAUGGUCAUAAAUCGGGCUCUUUUCUGUAGCAACUCUGAGCUACAUCGACUGCUUCAUAUUUUCAGCAUUUUUCCUCCCUGCUUCUCCUGGUCCGUUGAGAAAUAUGUGUCUUGAAGUUCUGUACUAAAGACUAUAGGCCUGCACAUGGUCAUUCAGCACUGAAGGUCAAUGUUGCACUUAGGCCGGUUGGGGUCUGAACAUGCAAGAAAAGGAAGGAAAAUUAGUAAAAUACAAAUCUUGCUUCAACAAAAAUGUUGACAAUAUGCUUUACUAGAUCAUUAGCUUUGACAGGAAAAAUAAUCUGUCAGAAUUGCAGGAUUUCUUCAAUCAAAUCAUUAGCAAAUGCCAAAGCCUUGAGGCUACCACUACAAAUGAACCAAAAUUGUGAACUGGUUAAGCAAAUAGCAAGACUGCACCAUUGACUUUGCUUGCUAUUGGCGUGUGUUUAACAUGCUGGUUUGGGUCAGACAGUUGACGCGGGACUCAGAAAUUGACUCGGAAUAAUGAUCGCAAGUGGAAGAAAUCAUCACAGUUAGGACGAGCUUGAGGUUGCAGCGGCGGAGCCAAGAGUGAGUGCAACCGAAUAGGCCCCAAGUUGGUGAUGCUUGCACUAGAAACCGCCAUGCAUCAGUAGAUCUCCUGCAAAUAUCGUCCUCGGUUCCCAUCACUUUCAAUUUCAUAAGAACACCCAAA